GCUUGAGCCUUCUCUUUUGCUCUUUCUCUCUAAUCCUUGAUACCUGGUGUUAGUGCUUUCUAUGUGCAAUGCACCUGGGCAAGGAUUUAGAGUGGGAUGAGCCUUAUCUGCCGAUGGAAG
rnacentral:pre_miRNA from 14 species